rnacentral:rRNA from 1 species
CGCCCCCUGAAUAAAUAAGGAUAGGGGGUCCUGCCUGCCCAGUGACCAAAAGUUAAACGGCCGCGGUAUCUUGACCGUGCGAAGGUAGCAUAAUCACUUGUCUCCUAAAUAGAGACUGGUAUGAAUGGCAAGACGGAGCUUUACUGUCUCCUCCUCUUUAAUCUGAAAUUCACAACCCCGUGAAGAGGCGAGGAUUCAUUCGUAAGACGAGAAGACCCUGUCGAGCUGCAGUAAAACUUUAACUAUUAUUUACCUCUAGUCUCACCUAAUACUAUAAAAUUAGUGGAUACUGAGGCAUAGCAAAUUGAAAUAAACUUUGAUUGGGGCAAUCCCGGAGAAAGAAAAUCCUCCGUUACUAUAUUGGUUUUAUAUAACCUAACUUAGAAGAACUAUAAUUCUAAAAUCAUAAAAUGAAGAUGUGAUCCACUUAUAGUGAUCAAAAGAACAAGUUACCGCAGGGAUAACAGCGUUAUCUUUUCUGAGAGUUCAUAUUGACGAAAAGGUUUGCGACCUCGAUG